rnacentral:rRNA from 1 species
UACAGAGGUCUCAAGCGUUGUUCGGAUUCAUUGGGCGUCAAGGGUGUGUAGGUGGCGCCGUAAGUCGGGUGUGAAAUUUCGGAGCUUAACUCCGAAACUGCAUUCGAUACUGCGGUGCUUGAGGACUGGAGAGGAGACUGGAAUUCAUGGUGUAGCAGUGAAAUGCGUAGAGAUCAUGAGGAAGACCAGUGGCGAAGGCGGGUCUCUGGACAGUUCCUGACACUGAGGCACGAAGGCCAGGGGAGCAAACGGG